rnacentral:tRNA from 1 species
GAGAAGAAUUAGAAAUACAGAAACUGCUAAUUAUCUGCAUCAUGGUUAAAUUCCAUGAUCUACUCA